rnacentral:misc_RNA from 1 species
GAUGAAGAACGUAGCGAAAUGCGAUAAGUAGUGUGAAUUGCAGAAUUCCGUGAAUCAUCGAAUCUUUGAACGCACAUUGCGCCUUCUGGUAUUCCGGAAGGCAUGCCUGUUCGAGAGUCAUUAACAACCGUUUCGAUCCCUUUCUUUCAGAAAUUACAAAGAGGAAAAGGGUUUGGUUAUGGUGGAGGAGGGAAAGGGAGCGUUUAGCCUGUAAAAAAAGAGGCUGUGUUCCGCCUCCCCCCCAAAAUUGUACAGGCGGUCGUGUGCGCCCACGCAUCGAGGUGUUGUAAAAGCUGCCACAGCACUUUUCACCUGUGCAGUGCGAGAUUGGCCAGCCGGUUUAAAAACCCCUCCAAACAAUCAAAGGUUGACCUCGGAUCAGGUAGGGAUACCCGCUGAACUUAAGCAUAUCAAUAAGCGGAGGA